rnacentral:rRNA from 1 species
ACGGGAGGCAGCAGUGGGGAAUAUUGGACAAUGGGGGAAACCCUGAUCCAGCGACGCCGCGUGAGUGAAGAAGUAUUUCGGUAUGUAAAGCUCUAUCAGCAAGGAAGAAAAUGACGGUACCUGACUAAGAAGCCCCGGCUAACUACGUGCCAGCAGCCGCGGUACUACGUAGGGGGCAAGCGUUAUCCGGAUUUACUGGGUGUAAAGGGAGCGUAGACGGUGAAGCAAGUCUGAAGUGAAAGGCAGGGGCUCAACCCCUGGACUGCUUUGGAAACUGUUUUACUAGAGUGCAGGAGAGGUAAGCGGAAUUCCUAGUGUAGCGGUGAAAUGCGUAGAUAUUAGGAGGAACACCAGUGGCGAAGGCGGCUUACUGGACUGUAACUGACGUUGAGGCUCGAAAGCGUGGGGAGCAAACAGGAUUAGAUACCCUGGUA